CUUUUAUCCAAAGCGACUUACAUGCAGGCGAAAAAGAUGAGUCUUUAGAUGUUUUUUGAAAAUGAGUAAAGACUCAGCUGUUCGAAUUGAGAUCGGGAGGUCAUUCCACCAGCUGGGAGCAGUCCAGGAAAAAGUCAGUGAGAGUGAUUUUGAACCUCUUUGGGAUGGCAACACAAGGCGUCGUUCACUUGCAAAUCGCAAACUUCUGGAGGGUGCAUAAGAUUGAACUAGUGAGUUUAGGUAAGUUGGCGCCGUGCCAGUGGUCGUUUUGUAGGCAAGCAUCAUACCUUGAAUUUGAUGCGAGCU
ensembl:lncRNA